AUGACAGCGGUUAUCCUCUUAUGCAAAAAUCUGUUACUGGGCAAAAGGCAUAGCAAAAGAGAAACCCCCAACCCAGUCCCUAACACUGACCUAUACGCAAAACCCAGAGACAUAUACAGAGUGUAUAUGGCUCUUUUAACACUUACACCCAGAUGCCUACUAUCAACACUAGUCUAUCUGGAUGCUGAGACACCAUAGUGGAGCUCAUGGGAGGAGAAUUAAUUUAAAAAGGGAAGGAAGGAAAGACAAGCAGAGAUAAGAAGUGUAGAAGAAGAGGCAGGUGGAAGAAUUUGGAUGGGUAGGUAUCAGAAGUGGAACUUUGGCACAGUUGACCACCUCCAACAGAAUGUCUUAUCACUAGCGUGUUUUCUUUGAUUCCGUCUCACCUCACCCGAUUGGUCAGAAAUACACCAUUGACGUCUUAUGUAACCGUAGCAAAUGUCUGUUAACCAAAACAGACUUGAGCCUGGCACUUUGUUAGCCACUUUAGCUUUGGAGCGAAAGUGACUUUAAACAUCUUCAGGCCGCUCCUCCACAGCACUACAAGAGUGACGGGACAGAGAGAGCUAGGCUACGUUCCAAAUGACCCUACUCCCAAUAUAGUGUACUACUUCGACCAGGACGCAUAGGACUCCAGUCAAAAGUAGUUGCACUAUAUAGGACUCAGGGUGCCAUUUUGGACAAACCCCAUGUUUGGAGCAGGACAGGAGGUUCCCAGUACUGCAAUACUGUGAUGGAGAAAACAUGGGUAGUUUGAAUAGAGCAGUUCUACUUGAGACAUACAUUUGAUAAAUCAACAUCACUAGCAUAACACCCAGACAAUUUAAAUAUGAACUGUAUGGGCAAAAUAUAUGUAGAAGAGAAAAAACGCUAAUAGGUACAAAGAAAUUAACUGCUAAUCUUUGCAGUGCUCAAAACUUUACCAAUUUAAAGUAUUCAUGGCCCAAAUUUCAGUCUGUGCCAUUCAAGAACAGGGUUAACUGUUAGCUUUAGCUGCUGUUCUUUCAUUCUGGCCCCUAAAUACCACACAAGCCUAUUAGGACCAUAUCACAGUUCACACAAACACACCAGCCCAAACGACAAGCUCAUGCGCAUGGUCCACUUACCUAACACACGAGACGCACAUGAGCUACAGACACGUCUGAAACAUAAUCCUGUGCCAAACACGCUAUUCGCACGGUAUACACUCCUCCUCCAUAAUAGCAAACUACACACACCAGAGGAAGACAGAAUGACAUCUCAGCUUACCAUUUAGCAGCAACAGUCCUUAGCUCUGGUCCAGGGCGUUACAUGUGGCUUGCUGUUGAAGGCUCAGCAUCAGAAAACUACACAUAACACCCUGGACCAGAGCUACG
rnacentral:lncRNA from 1 species